GAGAUGGAUUUGGUGACACUUAUGCUAAGUGGAAUAAGCCAGUCACAGAAGGACAAACACUUCACGAGAUGGCUUCGGUCUCGCUGAGGUCAAGAGGAACAAUUCUGUGUUUGUGGAGAAGUCAAUGACAGACAUGGAUUAAAGGUAUUUGUUUGCAUCUACUUACCUUGGUUGGCAGCAGAUUACGACCAACUGACUGCUAGACAGGUGUGGAGCCAAGGGGCAAGGAUGCCCGUUGACAUGGUGAUCAUUCACCUGAUUGGAAGUGAGGUGCCGAAGUGUGUCUGCGUUCUAGUGGAGAAACCACUCCUGGAGAACUGGAGAUGGAUGGGUUUUGGGGCAGAGCAGAUCUGGUAUUGCAAGCUGUGAUUGUUUCCUACUAGCUCUGUGAGAUUGGGGAAAUGACCUCUGAGUUUCUAUUCCCUUGUCCUCAGAAAAAUGAGAAUUAUUCAUGUGAAUAAAGACAAAUGCAGAUAUGAGUGACUGGCAUAACUAAGGUGCACAGGAAGGCAGCCUGCACUUCCAGUAUGCAUUUCAUGCCAUGUCUUUACCUCCUGUGGCAUACUUGAGUCUGAGAUUUCUUUGAGCCUAGAAUUUGAGUGCCGAUUGGAACUUGAAUUCUUCUGUUCAGACUCAGGUCCUGGAGGGAGGACAUGUGAAAUGUGCUUUAAACCCUGUUGAAUUUCUAGCAACUUGAAUUUGAAUGGGUCCUCUGAGUUUAAAAAAUAUUCUACCAUACUUUGUUUCUGCCUCCCCAAAAGAAGCGUUUAGGUUUUUAUCCAAUGCUUUAAGGCUCUCCGAGGACAACAUCAUGGAGGAGGAAGAACACUGGCUUUGAAUCCUGGCUCUGUCACUUUCUUACGCUGUGGCCGUGGCUGACACCUUUUUUGAGUGUGUUUUGUCACCUGCAAAAUGGGCAAAAGCAGGGCAGGUUUCAGGUUUUGUGGGGCUUGAAGCUUAUACAAUUUGGGGACCUCUUUAAGAGAAAGAACACAAAAUUAUGAAUAUAAACUUAGGUACAAAACUUACCUUUAGAAUAAGAAAAUAAAUCAACAUAAAUUAUAAAUUUAGAAAAUGCCACAAAUACUAUAUAAUUUAGAAAAAUAGUUUACUUACAUUAUUUAACUACCUGACAGAUCUCUACAAUGCUUUCCCUCCUUACCUCUUUUGGCUGAUUACUCUCUGAUUAUCUUUUCAUAGGACCAUAAUUUUGUAAUAUCCUUGUCUAUAGAGAGUAUAGAAGGAUACUCUAUUCUUCUUGCAUGCUCAUCAAAGUUUGUAUUAUUGUGAGGUUUUUUUUUAAGCUUUAUUAAUUAUUGUAUAAUUUUUUUUUUUUUUGAGACUGAGUUUCACUUUGUCGCCCAGACAGGAGUGCAGUGGUGCAAUCUUAGCUCACUGUAACCUCCACCUCCCAGGUUCAAGCGAUUCUCAUGUCUCAGCCUCCCGAGUUGCUGGGAUUACAGGCCCGCCACCAUGCCCAGCUAAUUUUUGUGUCUUUAGUAGAGAUGGGGUUUCCCCAUGUUGGUCAGGCUGGUCUCAAACUCCUUACCUCAAGUGAUCUGCCUGCCUCGGACUCCCAAAGUGCUGGGAUUACAGGCAUGAGCCACCGCACCUGCUGUAAAUUUUUAGAAUUGUCUAUUUUGGAAAAUGUUCUAUCGUUUUAUAUAUGUAGUAAGACAUGAAGUAUUCUUGUAUAGUACUUGUAUUAAACACUCUCUGAAAUGACAGUAUUCUUCAGUGAGCUUGUUAUGAGUGUCCUAUAUUGUCAUUGUCAAAGUGUCAAUUAGCAGAAAAUGUUCUAAUGCAUUCUUGUGAUUCCCUCCUCCUCAUUAAUUGGAUUAUCAGAUAAUCCAGAAGCCUGUCUAUUACUUCUGUUUGGAAUUUAUCUCAUUCUUUGAGAUAAAUUAACUAUAUUUGUCUAUGAUCUGAAUUUUGCUUUUGUUAUAAUUGUAUCUCAAUGUCAGAAUAAUUUCUGUUGAUUUCACAGCUCAUUUAUUUUAUUAAUUUAUUUGAAUAUUCUCCCAGUCCCUUAAUAAAUCAGUAAUCUGCAUUGAUCCUACUACCUAAGGGAGUUGUUGGAGUGAACAGGCUUUGUAAAUGUCAAAGGUUAUGUCUUCCUAAUUGAUACUAUUCUCUCCUAUGCCCCUCUCCUGCCACUCAGCACACCCCAAGACUCUGCAGAGUGUGUCUCCCAUUGUAAGUAUACAUGGAAGGAUCUAUGAGUUGAGUUCUUGGUUCCCUUGCUAAAAGCCAGGAGGAAAGAAAAGGAAGGAAGCAGAGUAAUAAUUCUUUUUGGUUAUUGUACGUUUACAUCAUGUUUCACUCUAACAUAAACACGAUGAAGUACAACACACAACUUUAUAUAAAAGCCUGUUUUAGAAAAAAUAAUCCCAGAAUUUCCUAAUUUCUGAUAAGGAGUAUUUGACCAGGGCUUCAGGAAUGUACUCUGUUUCGGCAGCUUGGGCCAUAGGCACCAAAUGGAGGCUACUACUGGUUCCUAGCCCUUCCCCAUAUCCAUUAAUCCUCAGACUGUGUUCCUGAUAGGACACCUGGGCUGUGCAGGCAUAGCUCAGCCCACAUUUUAUCUGACUGUUAUCUCCUCCUGCCAAUGCUCCCAUUCCCUGAAAUCUCUUCAAGAAUACCUGAAGGGCAGGCUUUCUGCACAGCACCAACACUUCUGCAGGAGGUAAAUGUCAAAUCCAAAGCAAUCUACCUUUAAAGAAAUAUUUUCCUAUUUGAAACUCACCCCUCCCAUGAAGGAAAUUAAUUGCACUUGAUAAUUCUCUUAAAAUGAGUAAUGGAGUAGGUAUAGCCUUAAAAAUGUGCUGUUGGCAUUUUUGUUUGUUUUUCUAAGUGCAGUUAAUUAAAUUCUGGUGAUUCCAGUGGGCUGUCUGCAGAACAGAGAGUUAUUACUUCCCCCUGAAUGUCCCCCUGAUUUCCCAGGCAGAGUUAGGAGCUUCUUCCUUUUUCUCUGGCCACCCCCUGCAAUGCUGUGUGUUCCCUCCCAUCAUAAGAUUCAUCCUGUUAUUAUUAUUAACCUACUUCUCUGCUUCCUGUACUAAAUGUCAGUGCCUUGAGGAUAAGAACUAUGAUUUUUUUUGGUCAUUAAUCAGGUCUCACUACCUGCUAAUGGAAUCUUCCUACCUUGACUUCCCCUUGUAGUGGGUCCCUGGCAUUUUCUGAACACAGAUGGCUAUGGGCAUCCUUUGUAGACUGCCUUGGAAGCUCACCUGUGCCCAGGUAGACCAUCCCUAGUGUAGGCACAUUUUAUCCUGCCACCAGAAAUCUAGGUCAUGCCUGCUUAUCCCUUCUGGCCUGGAUAACAGUGGCCUUGACAUAUUGGAUGGAGCCCUUUGAAGAGAGGACAGUUUCCACCCAUGGCAAUGAAGGCAGAUGAGCUGAUUUUCCUUGUGAGUUCAGGCUUUUAGGUGCUGGCAUGCCCCCUUGAGAACGGGCUCAUCAGGAUUCCCCUGGAAGGACAGGUCUUGGCUAUUACCCAGCUAGUUGUUAAUGCUGGGGCUCACCUUGGGGUUAAGGAUGCCUUACUCUCAGCAGGCCUUGACAGGCUCAGCAGUAAGGCUUUCCAGGGAAAAGAUUCCAAGACCUUGGCUGUGGGCUGCUCUUGGUCAGGCUGAUUUCAGAAAGAAAUACCAUUGAGCCGAGAUGGUGAUGAAUGGCUCUUGAAAACAUAGGAAAUUGGGUUUUAUGACAGGUCAUUUAUUUUCUCUCCUCCCUC
ensembl:lncRNA